GGCCAGCAGCCGCGGUAAGACGGAGGGGGCAAGCGUUGUCCGGAAUUACUGGGCGUAAAGGGCGCGUAGGCGGUCGGAUACGGCGGUGGUGAAAGCUCUCGGCUCAACUGAGAGAGGCCCGCCGCAACGGUCCGGCUUGAGGGUGGUAGAGGCAGACGGAAUUCCUGGUGUAGCGGUGAAAUGCGUAGAGAUCAGGAGGAACACCCGUGGCGAAGGCGGUCUGCUGGGCCACACCUGACGCUGAGGCGCGAAAGCCAGGGGAGUGAACGGGAUUAGAUACCCCGGUAAUCCUGGCUGUAAACGAUGGAAACUAGGUGUCAGCGGUAUCGACCCCGCUGGUGCCGCAGCUAACGCGUUAAGUUUCCCGCCUGGGGAGUACGGCCGCAAGGUUGAAACUUAAAGGAAUUGGCGGGGGA
rnacentral:rRNA from 1 species